GUGCUUACUUCAGCAGCGCAGAUAUCAAAAUUGGAAUGAAACAGAAAAGAUUAGCAUGGCC
rnacentral:snRNA from 10 species